rnacentral:tRNA from 1 species
GUUGUCUUGGCCGAGUGGUUAAGGCGAUGGACUACAAAUCUUUUGGGAUCUUCCCGCGCAGGUUCAAAUCCUUCCGACAUCA